rnacentral:rRNA from 1 species
UAGUGGCGAACGGGUGAGUAACACGUGAGUAACCUGCCCUUAACUCUGGGAUAAGCCUUGGAAACGGGGUCUAAUACUGGAUAUUGACUUUUCACCGCAUGGUGGUUGGUUGAAAGAUUUAUUGGUUUUGGAUGGACUCGCGGCCUAUCAGCUUGUUGGUGAGGUAAUGGCUCACCAAGGCGACGACGGGUAGCCGGCCUGAGAGGGUGACCGGCCACACUGGGACUGAGACACGGCCCAGACUCCUACGGGAGGCAGCAGUGGGGAAUAUUGCACAAUGGGCGAAAGCCUGAUGCAGCGACGCCGCGUGAGGGAUGACGGCCUUCGGGUUGUAAACCUCUUUCAGUAGGGAACAAGGCCAGUGUUUAGCUGGUUGAGGGUACUUGCAGAAGAAGCGCCGGCUAACUACGUGCCAGCAGCCGCGGUAAUACGUAGGGCGCAAGCGUUAUCCGGAAUUAUUGGGCGUAAAGAGCUCGUAGGCGGUUUGUCGCGUCUGCCGUGAAAGUCCGGGGCUCAACCCCGGAUCUGCGGUGGGUACGGGCAGACUAGAGUGAUGUAGGGGAGACUGGAAUUCCUGGUGUAACGGUGAAA